GAUGAACGCUAGCUACAGGCUUAACACAUGCAAGUCGAGGGGAAACGACAUCGAAAGCUUGCUUUUGAUGGGCGUCGACCGGCGCACGGGUGAGUAACGCGUAUCCAACCUGCCCAUCACUUGGGAAUAACCUUGCGAAAGUAAGACUAAUACCCAAUGACAUCCCACGAAGACAUCUGAAUGGGAUUAAAGAUUUAUCGGUGAUGGAUGGGGAUGCGUCUGAUUAGCUUGUUGGCGGGGUAACGGCACACCAAGGCAACGAUCAGUAGGGGUUCUGAGAGGAAGGUACCCCACAUUGGAACUGAGACACGGUCCAAACUCCUACGGGAGGCAGCAGUGAGGAAGAUUGGUCAAUGGGCGAGAGCCUGAAACAGCCAAGUAGCGUGCAGGAUGACGGCCAUAUGGGUUGUAAGCUGCUUUUAUAAGGGAAUAAAGUGGGUCUCGUGAGACUUUUUGCAUGUACCUUAUGAAUAAGGACCGGCUAAUUCCGUG
rnacentral:rRNA from 1 species